rnacentral:lncRNA from 1 species
GUCGCUUAUGCUGGGAGCUGUAGACUGGAGAUGUUCUUAUUUGGCCAUCUUGGCUCCACCCGCUCCUGUCACUAUUCUUGAAACAAUUCUGGAACCAAUCCUCCAUGGAUAGUGAAGGAAAACUAUAUUAUACUUAAUAACUUCCAAACCAGUAAAUUAAUAAAGAAAAGGUUAAGUUGUACAAAAUAGUAUCAGUUUAACAGUUACAGAAAAAAAUGAAAAAAAAGGUAACUAUGAAAGGCAGAGUAAGAUAAUGGAAAAGGUAAAAUAUAUUAUCACAAUAAAUGUAAAUGACUUACAUAUACCUACUAACUAAAAUACAAAGACUUUGUUGAUAGAAACAAAAAUGUACCUAGCUAUCGUCUGCUUUUAAAUGUCAUACCACAAAUAAAAUUGCUUUGAAAUGUUCCAGAUAAAGAAAUGGGAAAAAUAUCUAAUGAACAAAGACUGUUCAGAAGAAUGUUAUUAUACCAAUAUAGUAAUAGACAAAAUUAAAAUUAAGGGAAUGGCAUUAACAUAGGUAAAUAGGUAUAUGCAUAAUAAUUAAAAUAAAAUUUACUUAGAAGGUUAUGACAUUUUAUGUAUAUAACAACAUUGUCAAAAAAGUAGUAAAGCAAAAAUUGCAAACUCUGCAGUGUCAUCAGACACUGAUAUAUUAAGCAAAGUAAAAUACCUUAAAUUCAACACAUUGUUAUAUAAAACUAACUAAAAUUUCAAAGAAAUGAUUACCCGUAAAACACAUUUUUAACCAUAAGGCAACUCAAAAACCUACACUUAAAAGAUAGCUUAAAAAAUAAAAUAUACUUCAAAACUUUGAAAUGCAUUUAGAAAUAACAUAGUUCUUCAAACUUUUCUUGUUUGAUUUUUUUCAAUCUAAAUGCAGUAUUUGAUAUUCACUUUUCUUCAUUUUAUUAAACACAUGGCCGUUUGUUUCAACCUGCCAAGAUCAUCUUAAUUAAUUCUGUAACCACUGUAAUUGUUAUUAUUUCAUGAUUUCUAUCAGUUUUAUAUUAUAAACAUGUUUUCUGUACAUUUGAGUCAUGUAUCAAAGUGUUGAAUCUGUUAACAUGAAGGACAGAGACCUAAAUUGUUAAUGUUUCUAACUAGAGAGGAAAUGAUGCAUUAACUCUUUCAGGUUAAGAGAUAUUUGUAUUUUAAUUACAUAUUUUUAAUUUUGUGUACUUAUAUACUACAUAAGGUAAUAGUAAUACAGCUUCCCUUUUAAGCCUAUGUCCCGUUAUGAAUAUAAACUUUUUUAUUAUCCAUCACAUGACUGAGAAAAUAUUGAUACAUUAUAAAAUGAAAAAAAACUUAGUAAAAUGCUUAACAGGGCAAAGAAUAAAUAAACAAUGACAAUACAUAAAUUUUUGACUUGCAGAUACAGUUUGUUUCUGGAAGCAUACAGAUCUUCCUUGUUUGUUUACAUAAGCUAUAAGAAAGAAAAAAAUGAAAUUUCUGCAAACACUGAUUUACCAGUUCUUUAUCUCUCUACUCAUAGGAUGAACACUAACCAUAAAUUUCACCUCUAUCUAAGGAGUGUUCUCAGAUAGUUAGAUCCACUAGUUAAGACCAAGAAAAAGCAAAAAUGAUUUUAGCCCCCACAGAAUUUAGUGAUUGAUCUUUCCAAUUUUGUAUAUCAUCAAGAUAGUUAAAUCUCAAGAUACCAAAAAUGACAAUAAUAUUCAUACUAAAAGAGUUCUACCCAAAUGGUCAUAAAGGGGAUUGUUCCAGAAAUGUGGUUCAUUAUUUUCUAAAGCUUUUAAUUUAUGAUGACAUCCUGACAUCAGACCUUGAAUUAGGUACUAAAAAGCCAAUCCUUACUGGAGUCACGCACUGGAAUGUGAGUUGAGAGCAUGAUCUUACCCUCUCUGAGCCUCAGUUUUCUCAUCUUCAAAAUGCUGUGGUUUGCCUUAGUUAGGUAUAAGGUUUCUUGUUCUUCUAAUCUUUUUCAGGGCUAUAUCCCCUUACUCCUUCCCAUCUGUUCAAAAUUGUAAUCCCCAUAAAACAUAGAGAAAUAUAUUCUCUAUAUAUCUCAGAUGACUAGAAAAAAACUUCAAGAAAUACUUCUUGGAAGAAAUAUGUCCUUAGUUUCUGGUUUAAGCUCACGUUCUUCCUUUAGUUGGCUUAGGUCUCCCUUUUCAUGAGUGUCCUAAUUGAGUAUUUGGUCUCUCUGCAGCUAUGUGUUAUCCAGCUGGCAUUUUGAAUUUCUUGAUGGAGCAUUACUUCACUUUAGAUUCCCAGUUCUUGGAAAGUGAAUCAAGCUUUCUUUUUAUUGCCUGACUCUUUUUCAUGUAGGAUAUUUUCUGCUAUUUCUCUAAGCUUACUGAAGCUCACAAUUCUCUGAUGGGCUUGCCUACUCAUUUAGCCCUUCAUGAAGUCCCUGAGCUGCCUUUUUCAUCUGGAGUCUCCAUGCACAACGGUGAAAAGUGCAUCUUUUAUCUCACCUGGUAGGUAAGCUUUCCCCAAAUCCCAAGCAACUGUUAAAGGAAUUGAGGAAUGCUCUGUGAGAAGAAAAUCAUGAGAGCAGAAGGAUGUUCUGCUCUCAAGGGAGGCCAAUGAAAGAGAAAUCAAUCACGUGAAUUAAGAGCUUUUGAUGAAUAAAUAAUUAGCAUACACACUAAAUUAAUUAGCCAAUUUCCAAGUCAGGCUUAGUAUUGCAUGCUAGAGCUAGCAAGCAUUGCAUCAGUUGAAAUGUAACUGUUUGGCUUUGCUUCAUAAGAUUUUCAAAUGCAAAAUGACUGUGCCUGGUUAAAGGCUACCAUUUAAGAGAAUAAAUGGCCAAAACCAGGUGGUUAAGCCCUCACUUCCCAAUGCACAACCAAAGACUAAGGCAAGUAUUUCUUUAUAAACAGCUUCUGACCACUGUAUUUAAUAGUGUUGACAUUUACAUAAAUGGAAUGCAGUGUAGUUGCUGAACAUAUACUGGGAUGAUUCCAUAAUCCUGUUUUAAUUAGAUGGAUGUUGCGAGCAUACAAAAAUCACAAGCUGCACUCCCUGUGGUGAUGCCAUACUGGCAAGGAAUCAAUCACCACGGCUCUGGUUGCCAUAGAAACUGAUAGCUCCUGCACCACCAUCUAAAUGGCAAAUGAUUGGUGGUGUACUCAUAACACAGGGAGAGCAAUGAGUUUUUCUAUCCUGUCCAGCAGCUGUGCCAGAGAGUUAAUUAAAAGCAGAGAACAUGAAAUAAAUCUAAAUCUGUGAAGAAAUGAAAUGUACAGUACAAAUUGAAUUCCCGUGUCGGACAGAAAUUAAUAUGCAGCGCAAACCACAGAGCUGCCUGAACAAGCAGCAGCUGGGAAUCUUGGGAAAUGUUGCUUCUCAGGCGGUCAGAGCUGAAAUGUGGAGAGGGCACCUCCUUAUCUUAUUACCUAAACAAGCACUUUGUUCAGCAUUUGUGUUGACUGAUGCAUGCAAAUUGCAGCCUCAGAUGUUAAGAGUUCCUGUUUUCAAGCAGGAAGGACAAAGCUUAACUAAGAUUUAAUUAACAAACUGUUAGCAACUGCAGUUUAUCAGCUGUGAACACAAUGUAAGUAAAUGUUUCUACUCCUGUACUAGAAUACACCAGUCAACCUCCGUGAAAGUCAAUGUGUUUUUAUUGAUAAGCCACGAAUUCAGAAUUCAUAUUUCAAAUACCACAAGUCGAGGAACAAGUACCUGAAAUGCUUUCUCCAGAAAUAAAAGAAGCUCAACAUAGAAAUAAAUAUUUUUUUUAAUUUCCAUAGAAUAAGCUACAACAGAUCAGGCAUGAAAUAUUUAACUAGAGAGAACCAAGUGUUUUUGGUUCAUUCUAUCCCCAUUCUGUGAUUUUGGCUUUAUCAUCUAGGGAAUUCAGCAUUCAAGCAAAUUGUUGUCUGUGUGAAGCCUACCACUUUCAUAGGGCAAGUAGAACAACUCAGGGGCCACAACAAUGUUUCUGCGGCUUCCAAAUAUGCAUGAGGUGUAGGAAUCAGAGGAGAGGAUAACACCUUAGAUCAUACAAUUCACCCCCUCCCACUCCAUCACUCCACCCCUAAUUUCCAUCCCUAGUAAGGAAACACUGGGUCCAAAGAGAAUGAGCAUGACUGACUAUAGAAGAAUGAAAAAUUUUGGUGGGAGUUCAGAAUUUAUAUCAUAAUGACAUAUUUUUAUGCGCUUAAUAUUCAUCUAAUGAACUAUUAGAACUUUUCUCCUAUUAAAAUGCAUUUUCAUCUGGCUAGCCCUCUAUUUUUUAUGGCAAUUGAAUCGCUCUUCUAAGGAGAAUUUAUGCAAUUCCUCCAAUCAUCCAUUUUAAGUAGUUUUCAGUGUGAUAAAACAACAAGAAGGCAAAUGCCAGGCUUACAUAUACUUGUUUAUGACGAUAUCUCUGUAUGAAUCAGAUUUUUAUGGGUAGUUGUGAACCGCUUGAUUUGAAAUAUCACAUAGAUGUCCAUGACAUAAGGAGUAAAAUCCUGAGGUAUCUUUUACAAAGACAGUUUUUUACACUUUGCAGACCAUGAGUAGACUUCUAGUGACUGAUAGAAUUAAUACUAUUGUAACAGAAAAAGGCUUCAAUUUGAAAUAAGAUAAGAGGGAUGAAUAAAAAUGUUAUUUUAGUCAAGGGAGGAGAAUUUUCAAUAUUAUUCUGAGUGUACUAUUUUAGACUUUAAAUACACUCAAGUUAAUUAUACUACACUUAUUAUCUCUAAGUAGAAAUAUUGAUAAUCAUUAGUGGGAAAACUAUUUGAUGUCUUUAUGGGAGUAUCUGAAUGCAUAAAAAGAAUAAUUGUUUUAAAGUAUAUAAAAUGUUCAGAAAUUCUGAAAUACCUCAUGAAUGUACAAAAUAACAAAUUUGUUUAGUUAAUGUAUGAGAGUAAACAUUAUCAUGUUAUACAUAUCUUUAAGUGGGCAUUUCAAAAUGGAAAAGUGCAGGAUUUCACUGAUUUUUUAAUGUCUUUUGAAAACGUCCCUUUAAAUUCACAGACAUAAGAGAUUUUGAGGUCCAUGUUUAUUUUCAAAUAUUCUAUCUAAUUUGAAUGUAUUAUCUCUGGUAUUAGGGUUAUAUAGUGCGAUGUUACAGAUCAUGAAAUUUUAAUUUCUAAGAUUAAUAACACUGUAAAUAAAAUCUUGAAUACACAUCCUUUCUUUCCCAUUCUCAGUGCAGUAUGUCCCUAUACACUCUGAUUUGAAUUCUUAUUAUUGGCCCUUAACUGAUCUUCUUGGAGUGCCUUUUUUAUCUGUUGGUAGAGGAAAGGGAUUGAUCUGUAUAGUUUCAUAAAGCUCUCUUGGUGUUUCAAUAAUUCUGUUGCUUUUUCUUUUACCUACUCUAUACAAUUGAGAAACAGGACUCGAAAAGAGUAGUUCUUAAACCUACUUAUUUAUCAAAGUCAACUAGAAUAUCUGAGAGAGAGAGAAAGAAGUGAUUCCUAGGGCAUGGUAAAUAUUGAUUUAGGGUUUCUGCUUAGCAACUGAGCAUUCAAAGUUGUAAUAACUUUCACAAGUAAGUCAAAAGUGCAAACUCACUUUACAAAAAAAGGCAGAAAUUUAGCUCCAUUCACUUCUGACGUCUAUUGAUCUUUUGACUAUUUUUAUUGAUGACUGUUUCAUCUGCUAAGAAUUAUGGUGAGGCUCCAUAAUUUAUAAAAGCAAUGCUGAUCCUGACAUCUUUCUAUUCGGGGAUUUUAUCCAUUUUAUCCAAAGCAAAAGGCCCUUUCCUCAGAAAAUACACAUAAACAUUUAUACACAAAAUUUGUGAAGAACUUCCAGGGCUUUACUGACUUCCCGUACCACCACCUUUCAUGAAAUAAUCCCCUUUUUUACACAACAGGGUAUACAUUUGGACUUCUAAAUAUUUCUUCUGAUUUGUACUUUUGCAAGAUGUAUUUGGUUAAAUGUUAGCUGCUAUUAUUAAUAUCACUGUCGUUUUUAUUGAUUGUACAGUUCCUUAUAUGAAGAACUAUGUUCUAUUUUUAGACAUUAGGGCCAGAAAAAAACAGUUUGUUUCUCCUGAAAAAUAAGGCUUAUGCAUUUUUAAAAGAAAAAAAGCUUAAAUGCAAUUAUUUCAUUCCCAAUUUCAAGUGAAGUCCCAAUACAAUAUAUAUCCCCUAUUAAAUUGAAGUUCAAAAUCACAAGGGAUGACUUACAAAAUAAAUUUUUGAAAAGCCUGUUUCACAACUCUUAACUCCCUCAUCACAUUGAGGAUGUGAACAGGUUGGGAAGUUAGAUGUUAAAGGAUAAUUCUUUUGAGAGAGUUGGUUGUAAGAAACCCUAUUCCAUUAGUGAGCUUUUCCCUUCAUCUCGAUUCAAAAAAGGAAAACUUGAAGGAGACCUCUGGGAGAAAUAAACGUUUCUCUGGAAAUGUGGAAGCAAAAGUCUAUUGGAGUUUUACCUAGCCAAGGAAAUCUCAAGGACAAGAGACUGAAAGGCUAAUUCUUCUGUCAUGAAACAGCAGAGAGAUGGCCAUGUUAAUCUAGACGUUGUCAGAGCAAAAUAUAUAUGAAAGUUUACUAUGGACCAGAUGUAGACCACUUAGAGAGCUAGUAUGGAGCUGUAUUAGAGAUUGACCAAGAACACCUAGAGGGGCAAAGUAACACAACUUUUUCUUGAAUGGAAAUAUACAUAUACUGUCCAUCACAUAUCUGUCCUUUACCCAGUAAUGCAAAGGUUCUGAGAACUCACAAAUUGUCCCACAAGAAAAUCUGUCAUUUUGAAACACCCAUGAGAAAGAAGCACAGAACUUAAUAUAAAAUUACAGUUUUAGUCAUGUAAGAAACUCUUUGUUGUUUUUCCUUUUCUCUGGUACACCUAUUUCAACUGACUUUGGAGCCAGACUCACUCCUACUGUUUGGGGGACCCAAGCAACAUCCUAUGUCUAAAGAUUUAGCUAUGAAUUAAACACACACACACACACACACACACACACAACGCACACACUCUCUCUCUCUUUAAAAAAAACAAUGUUCUAUUCUCUUACAUGACAAAUAUGCCUUCCUAAAUAUCUGCAAGGCUAGAGUUGAAUUUAAAAUUUUUAGAUCCUUUUUAGUCCAAUGCUGGAAAUUAACAGCAUAUAGAGAGCUCACUGUUGGCCUCCUGACCCUUGGAAGAGCUUGUAGUCUGUCUGCCUUCUUUUCUUACUCCAGUUUCCUUCGGCACCACGUGAUGUCCAAGUUUCAUACAUAGUGCCAGGAACAGCUGGCCCUUGGCCACCCAUCAAGCCAAAGGUAUUCACACCAACGGAGCAGCCCUAUCCUUGGGAGGGCAAACCCCAGAGAGGAGCACUGUAUAGAACAUGGAAUCAGGGCUGGCGUCACUUUGGCAAAGAAUGCCAGGGUCCUAGGUAUUCCAAUUAUAGUGGGGUUAGAAGACAGUUCUGAAAAGGUGUAUUUUUCCUUGAUCUGCAUGAUUUCUCUGUCCCAUAUGACAGAGCAGGACAAGAAGACAGCCAACAGAAGCCUCUCCAAAGCAUGGGGUCAAGGGUAAGAGCUCUCAUACCUGAGUCUAAGGGUAACACAGUCUGGAAGAAUCAGUGACCAUUACUAGCAUGAUUGAGAA